GAUGAAGAACGUAGCGAAAUGCGAUAAGUAGUGUGAAUUGCAGACUUUAGUGAAUCAUCGAAUCUUUGAACGCACAUUGCGCCCGCCAGUAUUCUGGCGGGCAUGCCUGUCUGAGCGUCAUUUCAACCCUCAUGCCCCUAGGGCGUGGUGUUGGGGAUCGGCCAAAGCCCGCGAGGGACGGCCGGCCCCUAAAUCUAGUGGCGGACCCGUCGUGGCCUCCUCUGCGAAGUAGUGAUAUUCCGCAUCGGAGAGCGAUGAGCCCCUGCCGUUAAACCCCCAACUUUCCAAGGUUGACCUCAGAUCAGGUAGGAAUACCCGCUGAACUUAAGCAUAUCAAUAAGCGGAGGA
rnacentral:misc_RNA from 1 species